rnacentral:tRNA from 1 species
GGGCCCGUAGCUCAGCUUGGUAGAGCGGCGGGCUUUUAACCCGUAGGUCCCGGGUUCGAAUCCCGGCGGGCCCG